AAGUCGUCAAGUGAACUAGAAAUAGUCAUAUAUAAUAACUCAGGUAUACCUAUGUUCAUACCAGGUAGCUUUUCUUUACGGGCAUACUUACUCAUGACUCAACCUCUAGUCUGCCAAUAAGUCUCAUUCAGGCCUGGUGAGAAAGUGCAUCAUGUUUACUUGAGUCGACAAUAAUGUGGAAGAUCAGAACAGGCACGCACUCAUGAUAGCUGAAUUUUCUUAUACUGUACUUCGGCUUAUAUGGUACCUUAAAACGUCAUAUCUAUCUGAUCAGGGAAUUUUUCGCUUGACCAUAGUCAUUGUCUUUCUGCUUUUGUGAACAUAUGGUAUUCCGAUUGAGGGGUAACCUACAAUUGUGCAAAGCACUGACUACAUCACUUACUUCGCAAUACUUCAUUGUUAGUCCUCUCCUCUUCAGAUUCUUCAUACUGACUUCUCUAACAAAGCAUGUCUACAUCUUGCAGAAAAGCUGGCCUUCUUUGUUCUCUUCUCGAUCGCCAAUGAACGACUGUGGGCACGGGUGAUGCUGCCUGCGCCUAAAGCCCAUGUGGGGCUAAUUCCGUGCUUCAUCUCGUUUCAUGGGCCAUUUAUUGCUCUAAUAAGGCUUUUAGGGUUCAGACGUUCAGUAAGAUUUCAUAAAAACAACUCUCAAAUCUGAGCUACGGCGGCGCAUAGCUUCCAGUUCUCCUGCCUGUCUUCCUCCAUCGACCAUCUUCUUCAUCACAACCACCACCACCACCACUACUAUUAUCUUCGGUACCACCACCACCACCAUCACAACUUAAUGUAUGGGUUAUAAAUGGAAAAUGGGUUUUGUUUCUCAUAUCCCCUGGAAAGAGGGAGGAGAAAUGGUUGAUUUUGAUUAUCAGUACGAGCGUAUUCGGAAAAUGGGACUUUGAAUAAUUUCAGAAAAAUGUCUUGUUGUACUUACCAUCGGCAUAAAUCCAGAACAUAUGAUGGGAGCCAUUCAAGCCGUUCACAUCAACAAGGAACACAAGUAUAGGAAAAGGGAAUUAUUUUUACAAGUAUCAAAAUAUUCACUUCCUUUAGUGUUGUGCACCUGCAGAGAUGCAAUAAAACAUGGAAUGCAAUAGCUACAAAAAUACCUACUGAUAACUCUUCCUAACACUGCGGUGCUGAGAAGCAGAAAGUGCACAUAAGGAGAGCAAAUUCAGCGGAAAAGGCUCUGUUCUUGUGAUGCUGUUGACAUAAUGGGUGAAUUUUGUGAAACUUACCGUAUCCGCACUGAUAUAGACGGGUUGAAGUAUUUUUGAUUCCGGAUAAAUUGUCAGUGGUACAGUUAACUGAUUGCAAUAAUGACUUCUCCUCUCAUUAAAGAAAACAAAGUUCCGUUGUGUUAUAAAGGAAACAACCUUCCAAGAUUGUGGAUGAUCAUGCUGCAAGCUUCCAAGAUUUUCAAGCUACUCCAUGUGUAGCGAUGUUUCUUUGAAGGCAUCAGGAGAUGAUUGCUAGCUGUGGUUUGAAGGUGUUGAACUGCUUCCGCUACUACUGCUACAAUUUUUAAUGCUCCUCUUCUUCUUCUUUACCCACCAGGAGCACCACUACCAGGGCUGCUGCUGCCACCAUCUGUCCCUCCUCAAACUCUUCCUAAGCCAAAUAUCGACGGCAGUUGCCUAGACUCGCAUGAAUCAAAUGAUAUCGUAUGCAAGGCAAGAAAGGUAACACAAUGUCAUAUUAUUGGAUUUUGCUAUUGAGCAGUGUGGUAUGAUUAUGUAUCAUCUAGGAAGAGGAUUUGAGAUCCAAGAAGAUAGUCAAGACUUCGAUGGAAAUUGGGAGCACACACCAGUUUCUGAUACUAUAAAAAAGAAAUUGAAGGUGAAGAAAAUUAAGCUUGAGAAGAAUAAAAAGAAAAGACGUGGCCGGGGCGAAGACUGCGAAGAGGCAGAAAGGUUGAGAUGAUUAGCUGAGUAGUAAUAGAUCAGAGCAACCAAGGAGGAUGGAAACUAUGAAAGUAGAGCUAAGAAAGGUGAAAUGGAUUUUAAAAGAACUGAAAUCAUGGCAAAUACACAGUUGCAAAUUGCAAGUAAUGGUAAAGAUGUUUUCUUCAUUGAGAUUCGGAAGAAGUUAAUGAGACUACCAAGAGGCAAAUUCCACACUCUACAGUAUUAGGAAUACAUAUUUGCUUGAGAAAAUAAUGUUGGCAGCUGACUGGAACACACUCAUAAUAACUGAAUUUGCUUACUAUAUUUCGGCUUUUGUGGUAGUUAUAUAUUUAUGGAUGUGCUUGCUGAAUUUGUGCACCUUAAAUUUAUCUCAUUAUCAGGUUGCUUAAAUUACAGGAAGGUAAGUAUCAUUUUGUCCUUGACCGUGGUCGAUUGGGGUUGACAAUGAUAAAUCUUUUCUUUGAUUCUCAAAUGGACUUGGUGAAGCUAAUCUCACACCAUAGGCUGUUGCCAAUCCAGGCCUAAAAAUGAUAAGACAUGGUAGAGUGUUAACGUCGUCAGUCAGUAAUAAUUUGGAAACAGCCUACAUCACCAACUACCGAGUGAUCUUUACCAGUUGUUAAAUCGAUAACUGUGGCACGGGCUGAUGCUGCGCCUAGAACCCAUGUGGGGUUAAUACCGUGCCUUUAUGUCGUCUCAUGGGCCAUUUACUGCUCUAGUAAGGCUUUAGGGUUCAAUAAGAUUACCUUGUUCAUAAAAAGCUAACUCUCCAAUCAGUCCUACCAGUUGCGGCUGCUCAUAGCUUCCAAUCCUCCAUCGACCACCACCACCACCACCACUAUCAUCUUCAAUACCACCACCAUGACCACUCAACGAAUGGGUUAUAAAUGGAAAAUGGGUUUUGUGUCUCAUAUCCCCUGGAAGGAGGGAUCGGAAACCGGUUGAUUUGGAUAAUCGGGGAAUCCGAAAUGGGGGUUUCAUACUAAUGAAAUAACAGGGGUGUUAUAUGUGUGCUUCAUGAGGUUGUAUAAGGGAGGGUAAGUAUUACGGAAUUACUAAGAUCAGUUUCAAAUCUAAUUUUGGAUGGAAACUGAAGUGCAGAAGUAUGAGAAAAGGGAAUUCCUGUAAGUACCCAAAAAUUCACUUUCUGUACGGUAAAAAUUAGUUUGUGCCCAUGUCCUGCAACCACUAUUGUUUGAGAUUUUGGUUUUAUUUUUGACAUCUUGGUUUAGAAACAAGCAUGUGUGAAACUAGCCGAUUCUAAUAUCUAUCUUCAAUUUUGAAGGAAUGUCUCCGCCUAAAGUCUUGAAUUGCUACACUAAGAGUUACUUAAAGGUUGACGUUUACAAAUUGGUGUUCUAGUGAUGGAUGAUUAAGAAUUUCAGCUAGAGAAUACACCAAAUUGUUGCAACCAAGAUGUUACUUUACUCUAUUCAGGAGAAUCAUAUGAAUGCAAUGUUGCAUCCAUGUUGUGUAGUAGUUUUAUGGAAGCAACUGGAUUUCUAAUUAAAUUUGUUUGCUUUGAUUGCCACUCUUAGCCAAAAAAAUUUGGUUCAAUUACAUCCUGUAAACUAUUUGUAUCUUCUUGAAAAUAUACGGUGAACAUAUACUACAACUUUUAAUUUGGUGCAGGGAUGCAUGAAACUUGGAUGGAAUAGCUUCAAAAUACCUUACAGAUAACUCUUCCUAACAUUACGAUGCUGAGAAGAAACAAGUGACAUAAGGAGAUCAAAUUCUAGCAAAAAAAAAAAAAGCUUAAGGACAGUGCUUGUGAUGCUGAUGGCAUAAUGGAUGGAUUUUCUUAUGAAACUUACCGUGUCUGCACCGAUAUAGACAAUUUGAAGUGUUUUUGGUCUCUCCUCAUCCUUCCAUUUCGUUGCAAGCUGGCUAAAUUGUCAGUGAUACAGUUAACUGAUUGCAAUAAUGACUUUCUCCUCUCAAGAAGAGCAAUGCUACCGGCUAACCAAAGAAGCUAGCAAAAGACGGCAACUUGGAAAAUGGUUCCAGAAGAGAAGACGAGUAGAUGCAUAAAACAUGGAAUGCAAUAGCUUCAAAAUACCUUAGAGAACUCUUCCUAACACUGCAGUGCUGAGGAGAAGCAAGUGCACACAAGGAGAUCAAAUUUAACAUAAUGUAUGAAUUCUCGUGUGAAACUUGUUGUGUCUGCACUGAUAUAAGACAGUUUGAAUUGUUUUUGAUUUCGCCUCAUCCUUUUGUUUCAAGCUGGCAGAAUUGUCUGUGAUACAGUUAACUGAUUGCAAUAGUUGCUUCUCCUCUCAUUUUUUCCCCUUGCAGGAGAAGACAAGGUUCUGUUGUGGUUGAAGGAAACCACCUUUGUCAUUAUGGCCCCCUAACUUCAGAGAACAUUGUGGAUGAUCAUGCUGCGAGCUUCCAAGUUUUUCAAGCAAUUCCAUAUGCCAAGGGCGUUGUUUCUUUGAAGGCUUCAGGAGACGAUCGCUAGGGUGGUUUGAAGUCGUUAAUGCUCCUCUUCUUCUUUACCCACCAGCUGCGCCACAAUCACCGCGCUACUGGCACCAUCUGUCCCUUUUCAAAUAAUGGUAAAGAUAUUGAUUCUUCUUUGAGAAUCGGAAGCAGUUAAUCUGAAAACUACCACUGAUGCAUGUUUAUUUGAGUCCACAAUAAUGUGGCAGAUCAGAGAACACACUCAUAAUAGCUAAUUUGCUUACUAUGUUUCGGCUUAGGUAGUUAAAUUUAUGUAUGUGCUUCUGAAAUUUGUGCACCUUAAAUUAAGAUUGUCAUAUUCUUCUUGUAAUGGAGUUGCUUAAACUACGUUAAGGUAUGCUAAGUAGAAUAACAAUCAUAUAUUCUUUGGUUUA